UUGAAAAUAAAGUAGAAAAUGAUUUUAUAUGCAGUGUGUGGUUUAUAAUAUACAUUAUGACUAUGUAUUUUAAAAUGGCAUUUUAUAGAAAAUAAAUUAGAAAAAUAUUUCAUAGACAGUGAAUAAUAUGCAAUUACAAAUUUGUAUUUUAAAUUAGUAUCUAUUCUCAAAUAUAAAGUUAUUUUAUAGACAGUGUUCUUGUAUUGUUUGGGAAAAUAGAGAACUGAAAAAGUGGUGAGACUUACUGCAGUUACCUGUGACGUCAUUUCCUGUCUCUAUUUUCUUUCAGUUUGUAUUUAAAAAUUCUGAUCUAACGUCUUUAAACCUCCCUCAGACACCGUAUUAGGCGGUGUUGUUGUGAUUUUUACACGGCUCCUCUACGCGGGGUGCGUCACUGCCUUCACCGUACCGGGGCUGUGUCGUCGGGUAAAAGAGUACCGUACCACACCUGACGGACAGUGCUGCCCGAUGUGCCCAGAAGGUAAAGCUGUUUAAAGAGACACCAGAGUCGGUGCAGCCCCUGUGAAAGGGGACUUUCACCAACUAACCAGUGGCCUGAAAAAAUGCUUCCUCCGAACUUCAUGUGACUCAGAUGCUCUCAAACGAAAGUGAAGUUCAACGAAUGAAGCCUGAACAACAACACUGUCUGUGGCAGUUUCUACCUCUUUUUUUUUUAUGCUUUUCUCACUAACAUUUGCUGGGAUGCCGACAAAAGGUUAGUGCCUGUUCUGCAUCACUGACUAAUUUGCUUAAAUAAUUUAACAUUGCAUGACAGCAGCCUACUAAAGAUCAGUCUUAUGUAAAUAUCUCCCUUAUUUUGAAUAUUAGGCAAGGAGAGAAUAACAACUAAGUAAGUACAACUUGUACAUUUAUUUAAUGUAUUUACUUGGUUUUAUAGUUCAGUUACACACUUCUGCAACUAAUCUUUUGUCUCUGCAGUGUGGGUUUUCCCUUGUUACAAGAUGAAGGCUUUCCUAAUUUUUUGUCACUCUAAGACACUUUUAGCCAUGUAAUAAAGCAUUGGACAUAAGUCAGAACUUUAACAAAACGACUUUAAAAAAAUAUAUAUGUUGAGUCAGUUUUAGUAAAUAUACAUGAUUCUAUCCCGACAAACCAUGACAUUUUUAGACAAGUUUCCAGUAGUGUAAAAAUACAUUUAUGCAGUUUUGCAUUUUUUGAGUGUGUUUUGAUUUUUGAUUGCAUCUUUUGAUUACAUGAAUGCAACGUUAAUAAUGUAAAAGGUCCCAUAUUCUUCCUGAUACUGAGAUCAGGGCUUUCUGCAGAUAGUUUUUGUUUCUGGUUGCGUGUCUGGGCCUGUUGUCCUGCUGCAGGAUAAAUUUAGGCUGAUUAGACGCCGCCCUGGUGUGGCCUGAUCUAUUAAUCUGCAAACCAGGCAACUCUGAGAACCCAAGCAUGUCUCAACCGUUUUUGGAAUUUUUGGUAGGUUUGACACAAAGACUGUACAGAGGAUUGCAGCUGCAGUGAGGGAAAUAAGUAUUUGAACCCUUGCACAUUUCAGGAUUUUGGCCACAUACAAAAAAUCCUCAAAAACAACGAUCAAUCUGAUUUUAAUAGUCGGUUUAUUUUAACUGUGAGAGACAGAAUGUCCACAAAAAAUCCAGAAAAACACACCGUUAAACAGUUAUAAAUUAAUUUCCAGUUGAUCAAGGAAGAAAUGCUGUGAGAUAAACAUGACUUCGUAUUUGGUGGAGUAACCUUUGUUCACAACCACAGAUGUUUCUUGUAGUCGGUCACCAGGUUUGCACACAUCUCAGGAGGUAUUUUAAACCUCUGUUCUUUGUGAAUUCUCUCCAGACACUUAAGGUCCUGAGGUUAAUGCAUAGAAAUACAAAGCUUCAGCUCCCUCCAUCAAUUUUCGAUAGGUUAAGGUCUGGAGGCUGGCUAGACCUCUCCAUGUGACCACACCUUAAUGUGCUUCUUCUUCAACCUCUCCUUUGUUGCUGUGACGACAUGCUUUGGGUCAUUAUCUUGCUGGAAGAUCCUCCCAAGACCCAUUUUAAGUGCCCUGGUUGAGGGAAGGAGGUUCUUGCUUCAGAUUUCUCUAUUCAUGGCCCCAUUCAUUGCAGUCAUUCUGUACCCGUGGCAGAAAAACACCCCCAAAGCAUCAUGGUUCCACCUCCAUGCUUGACCGUGGGGAUGGUGUUAUUGGGAUUAUUGUAAGCAUUCUUCUCUCUCCAAACACAGCGAGUCGAAUUGAUGCCAAAGAGCAUUUCAGCUGAUAAAUACAGUAUUUAUUAUCGAGUAAUUACUGGAUAAACUAUAUCAGUCCUCCUCUCUUAAAUGAACUUUGUCCAUCCUUCCAUCCAUUUUCAUCUGCUAAUCUGUGGUCCGGUCAUAGUGCUAGCAGAUUAGCAGGUCAUUCCAGAUGUUCCUCUACUCCAACUGUUUCUGGGGUAUCCUGAGAUGUUCCCAGGCUAGAUGAUGUCCAGCGAUCAACCCAACAUUAUGACCACUGAUAGGAGACGUAAAUAACAUCAAUCAUCUUGUUCUGAUGCAACGUUCUGCUGGGAAACCUUGAGUCCUGACAUUCAUGUGGAUGUUUGACAUGUACCACCCACCGAAACAUUGCAGGUCAAGCAACCCCUCACCUCCCCGCUCCCCCAUGGCAACAGCAGUCCUUGAUGCCACUUGCCACCCUCAGCAGGUCAAUGGACCCCGACACACAGCAAAAGACUGUUCAGCAGCAGUCUGGGGAACAUGACAGAGCUAAGAUGUUCACCUGGGUUCCACACUCCUCAGAUCCAAAUCUGAGCAUCUGUGGGAUGUGCCAGAAUAAGCCUGAUCUAGGUAGGUCCCACCCUGCAACCCACAGGACCCACAGUGUUCACUGCCACCAUCCAGGUGCCACAGGACAUCUCCAGAGGUCCUGUGUCCUUGCCCCACUGGGUCUGAGGAGUUUUAGCAGCAUAAAAGGGAUCAACACAGCAUUAGGCAGGUGGUCAUAAUGUUGUGCCUGAUCGGAGUAUGUCAUACCUAGAGUGAGGUCCGGGUUCACUCCGGGUUCUACCACCAGUUGGACAUGCCAAGAAAACCUCCAAAGUAAGACACCCAGGAGGUCUGAGGCACCUCAACUGACUCCUUUUGACAUGAAGGAGCAGCUAAUCUACCCACCACUCCUCAUCCUUUCUCUAAAGCUGAGCCCAGCCACCUCAUUGGAGGAAGCUUAUUUCAGCCGAUUGCACCUGCAGCCUUUUUCUUUCUGUCACCACUCAGAGCUCAUGGCCAUAGGUGAGGGUUGGAAUGAAGAGCUUCUCUUUCUGGCUGACUCCUUCUUCACCAACAAAGUCUGAUACAACAUCUGCAUUACUGCUGACAUUGCACCAAACCUUCUUCCAUUUUACUCACUUUUUACUUUCAUUGUCACUCAUAAACAAGAUCCUGAGAUCCAUAAACUUCCUUGUUUCUGGGGCACAGAAAUAAAUAAAUAAUGUUUACUGCAUUUUCCUGUGAAUUACUGUAAAGAUGACACUCUUUUCUUGGUGUAUGUAACAUAUUGUAGUAAAACCUCACCCCAAAACCUCCUGCUAUCCCCACCCUCCUCAUCCUCACUGUCACCCAACCAGUUGAAACAGAUGGCUCCCUUCCUUGAGCCUGUUUGUGUCAGAGGUUUUAUUUCCCCUCCCAUCCCUCUGCUGCCUAAGGCAACUUCGGAUUGUUGGCUUUUCUCUGUUCUCUGUUUGUAAUUCGUAAGGUCUGUACGUCACAAUGCUAAGCACUUUGUAUUCAUAUGUUGUGAAUCUGCGCUAUAUAGAUAAAAUUUAAUUGAGUUGAAUUGAAGGAAGAGGUUCCAAGAAUAAGACCUUUUAUUACACUAAAUAUCCUUCUCUGCAGAGAGAAAAUGGAAUUUUUAUUGCGCACAUAACUUUAUAUAGUGUUGAAAAUGUGUCAUUUCUCUUUCAAAGUUCUCCCUCUCUGCAUACGUCUACAAAUUACAAUCCAUCUCUGUUCCGCCUGCCCCUGUCAAACUACCAAAACCUCAGGUCAGUCAGGCGCUGGGGAAAUUUUGGUACUUUCCAUGAGCAGGGAAAAAAACACUUGAGGAUAAAGCAUUAUGUAACGAGGUCAUGUGUGUGAUUAUGUAACACAUAUCUAUAAAGAAACACGACUACAUGGAUAACUGUAGAUGAUUAUAUGAAUAAAUUCACCAAGAACAAACAGCAACUUCUAAACUCAUGAAUAUAUGAUUACAGAUUUAUAUGUAUCUGGAAACACAAACACAUGUAAGGGACAUUUUCCACAGCAAUGUAAAUGUUAUUAUUGGAGUUUCAGUUUCCAAAUGGUGCAACAAGUGAAAGUAUCGCCAUUAGUACACAGGAGGAAGAUUUAUGUCAUUAUAACCUGUGAAGAAUCACUGUUUCCCCUCAUCAUUUAGAGAGUCACAAAGAAGUAAAUUAGAUAAAUGGAUGUAAAAUAAUCCUGUUAUUCAGCAGCACGAUUACACUUAAAUUACUGUCAUGUCUUGUUCAGUUGUGCAAAAUUACAGGUUUGUCCCACAUCUCCUUUAGUUUUACUGAUGUUUUAAAGGCUCCUAAUCUGUUUUAUUUUAAAAUGUGCUUACAUUGUCUUGCAUUGAGUGAUAAAACCAAACUUUAACCACUAAGGCUCCACAAAGAACACAGCUGUAUUGGCUCAAUGCCGAAUUUACAUGGUUUUUAAGAGAUUGGCUUUUCUUUUCACUGAUUAUUUAUUUGAUUGUUAUUGUUUGUGUUGUUUCGUCAGAGUUACUUACCAUACCGUGUAUUAUUAUGUAUCAUUAGCUACAUUAGCUGAAGCUAAAGCUGUCCAUGGCCAGUUUAGGAAUCACCAGUUACAAUGCAUUUAUGUGGAGUGUUGGAUUAAACCACAGCAUCCAGAGAAAACCGACAUGAUCUCAGGAAGAAUAUACAAACUCUAAACUGGAAGAAUUUCAGCCAACCAACAGUUUCCAACCCAGAACCGACAGUCCUAACCACUUCUCCACCGUGCCACCGCCUCCUUAGUUCUAUUAUUUAGACUGCUAGUUUUCAGUAGUUGCACCUAAUAAGUUGAUAACUGAGUGCAGAACUGUUCCAACAAUACACAAUAAAUGCUUGAAUUUUUAGAACAACAAAAUUUCCAAACCCUCAAUCUGAAGCGGUCUUUUUAUCUACAUAUUUGAACAGUUUUCAACUUUAUGAAAUCCAUUUUUUGCUGAGCAACUCAAACUCCUUCAACUUAUCCCCUCAAGAACAGGACAAAAUGAGAAUGUGAGGAUGGAAGGUGUGGAUGAUUUCAGUUUGAAGCUUUGGGUCUGUUCGAUAGUUGUUGUCAGGACUCUGUAUCAGGUGCAGGGUGGGUCAGUUAACAGUUUUUGUUUCUGUAUGACUCCAGAUAACAAACCUCUGACCUCAGGAAGCACCACUCCUCACUGAUAAUGUAAAUGAAAGCAUGUUUGGGUGUUGAAACCGAGUCACAUUUUAUUGAAAUGUUCUGGAUCUACAUCCAUUCUCAGCAAUGUAAUAGAAUGAAAGCUCAUUGUAUUGACCAUAAAUAACACUAUGAGCCAUUUUCCUGUAGUUUUAGCUUGCUUCCUUCAUAAUUAUGUGAAAUGACCACAAUCUAGACCAAUUUCUUGGAACAAUAUCAAUCAGUUUACACACAAGGUCUUUCUAUGUGACAUUUUUCAAAAUACACUAAAUCGAGAAAAGUAUUAGGACACCCCCCCCAGAUAAUUGAAUGCAGGCGGUAAUUAUAUAGUAAUAAAUCUGAGUAUUCGGAUCUCAAAAUUAAUAUUCGGAUACCAAAACAAUGACCAAAUAUUUGGAUAUUUGGGUCCAGCCCCACAGCAAACCAAGAUGUUUUGGACAAUUUCGUGCUCCCAACUUUGUCAGAACAGUUUGGGGAAGACCCCUUCCUUUUCCAGCAUGACUGUACACCAGUGCACAAAGGAAGGUCAAUAAAGACAUGAAUGAGUGAGUUUGAUGUGGAGGAACGUGACUGGCCUGCACAGAGUCCUGACCUCAACCCGAUAGACACCUUUGGGAUGAAUCAGAGCUGAGACUGAGAGCCAGGCCUUAUAUCCAACAUCAGUGCCUGACCUCGCAAAUGCGCUUCUGGAAAAAUGGUCAGAAAUUCCUGGAAACACUCCUAUGCCUUGUGGAAAGCCACCCCAUAAGAGUUGAGGCUGUUACAGCUGCAAAGGGUGGAACAACUCCAUAUUAAACUAAUGUAAUAAGCCAUAUUAAGAAUGGUAUGUGAUUAAAGUUUAUGUGCAUCUAAAGGCAGAUGUCCCAAUACUUUUUGCACUAUAGUAUACUUUCCUCUUAUAUUCAUAUUGAGGCUCAUAUUCCUUACUAGACAGCCUACCUGACCUUGCAAUACUGUAGUAAUCUCUGAGUUACAUUACUUGUGUUAUCUUUUGGAUCUUUGUAAAUUGAAUGUAGAACAUAAAAUGAAUCAGGCAGCAACAUUAUGUAUCUGGCUUCUAAAAUAGUCUUGGCCGAUAACCACCUUAACUUUGGUUCAUCUGUUGCUUUAAAUGGGUUACAUAAAUAAUGGUGACUUAAUUUCACUUUUUCUUCACUUCUGUUUUAGGAAUAAUAGCCUGAAGCUGUCAUAAUUUUCAAAUAUUUACUCAGAAUGACAAGAUAAGUUUCCCAAAAUGAGUUUUCUUUUGCAAACACAGUUGCUCCUUGUAGUCCAGGAGUUUGUGACUGCUCACUAAAUGACCUCCCCAGAUCUGAUGUUCAGUGUAAUGAGGAAUUUCUGAAGGUAUCACUGCAUCUACAUCAAUGGUAUCAUCGUGCUGCAUUUAUAGGGAAAUUGAGCAACACUUAGCAACUGAGGUAUGAACCUUAACUUUGCCUCUGAGACUGCAUUUUUUUCUGCUAAACUGAUGUGAAGAAAAGUUCUUCUGCAUUUUUUUUGUCAAUAUGUUGGGUUUAACAUCCAGCUUUUGCAGACUCACUGAAAAAUGACACUAAAUAGGCUACGAGAAGAUCCGACUCAAACAUUGCUACUCUUCACAUGAAGGCUGUAAGCUUUCAUAUUGGAACGAUUAAAAUUAAACCUACGCAGUCAGGAUCUGUUGCAGUCCACAUCUGGCAGAAGUCAGUAGAUCCUUUGGGAGUUUCUCUGACUUGGCUGAGUGUUGUGGUGAAGCUGUUCAUGAACUCCUGUGGUGGAUGUUAACACGUCUGUCCUGUGUGAUGGAAGAACCAGGUUCAAAUCCUGGCAGGAGUGUCUCGCUUUGCAACAAUCUCUCAGUCAGCUGCUGAGAACAGUAACCAGCCAGUCACCUUCACUAUUAUAGCAGCUGCACACAACAUUCAUUCUCACUGAGAUCACAUACAGUGGCUCUAACUUCUGUUUAAGUUUAAAGUUCCUUCAUGUUAUUUACAUAACCAAAGCCUAUGCAAAUGUUUGCCUUUAGUGAGUUAAAACAAGGAUGAUGCAGUAAUAUUAGCCAUUGCUAACUUUCUUUUGUAAACAGAAUGUCCCAACAAUUCUGAAAAACCUGAUCCAAUAUACUGCAGCUAAUAUACACAGGCCUUCAUGACCAAGCUCUAUUUUAUCUUAAAGACCUCAUUGUGCUAUUGUGCCAUAUUAUCCCGAUAGAGAACUUCGCUCAUAAACUGCAGGCUUAGUCGUGGUUCGCAGAGGUUCGCAGGGGCAGAUUCUUCAUUCAUAAGCUCCCAGUUUGGGUUGAAAAGGCAGAACCCUGCUCUGCUUCUAACUUUAGACUUCCUCUUUCCUGUUUGACAGAGUUUACAGUUAGAGCUACUUGGAGAAACCCUGAAACAUCUGUAGUUAUCCUGCUAUAUUUGGUCAUUGAGCUAGAAGAGUUAUAAAGAGAAAAGGCCUUGUUACAUUUUCUUGUUGCACUGGGAGAACUGUAUGGAAAUGAAGAACGUGGCAUGAUGCUUUCAAACCUGAAGAAAAAUAGUGUUACAUGGAAUUUGUAAUGAUUUGAAAUGAUAUUUUUGCACUGCUGCAUCUUCCAUUUAUUUUACAAACCACUUCAUAUUGCUGCUGUCUACAGUGUACUAAUAUUGUAUUUUUGCAUUUUCAUUUGUCAUCCACGGACAUAUUGUACAUAUUAUUAUUAUUAUUAUUAUUAUUAUUAUUAUUAUUAUUAUUAUUAUUAUUAUUAUUAUUAUUAUUAUUAUUAUUAUUUUACAUAUAUCAUAUAUCAUACAAAAGUUUGGGGUCACUUAGAAAUGUCCUUAUUUUUGAAAUAAAGAUAAUAUUAAAUUAGUCAGAAAUACAGUCUAGACAUUGUUAAUGUGGUAAAUGACUAUUUUAGCUGGAAACAGCUGAUUUUUAAUGGAAUAUCUCCAUAGAGGUACAGAGGAACAUUUCCAGCAACCAUCACUCCUGUGUUCUAAUGCUACACUGUGUUAGCUAAUGGUGUUGAAAGGCUAAUAGAUGAUUAAAAACCCUUGUGCAGUUAUGUUAGCACCUGAAUAAAAGUGUGAGUUUUCAUGGAGAACAUGAAAUUUUCUGGGUGACCCCAAACUUUUGAAGGGUAGUGUAUGUUUAUUGCUGCUGCAAAAAUGUUGUUGCUCUAACAAUGUAAAUUCCUCCUGGCGUGGGAAGCAAUAAAGGAUUGUCUUAUCUUAUCUUAUCUUAUCUUAUCUUAUCUUAUCUUAUCUUAUCUUAUCUUAUCUUAUCUUAUCUUAUCUUAUCUUAUCUUAUCUUAUCUUAUCUUAUCUUAUCUUAUCUUAUCUUAUCUUAAAAGAUGUUGCUGCACUGGUAAUGCUGUGGGUGCAUGUGACUAACUUUGUCUUAUUUCUCUACAGUAGUUUAGGGUUUGUUCUCUGCUGUUAUCUCUGAAUCUGCAGCUACACAUUUCUGAUGUGCAGUCACUGACCUCACCAACCCUCAACAGUGUUUAUUGUUAUCAGUUUAUCUCUAAUUUCUAUGUGCUUUCAUUUUUCCUUUCCUUUUUACCUUCAACCCAACCAGUUCUUUUUCUCAGCCUGGUUAGGUUGGAGGUUUCUUCCUAUUCAUGGUGAGUUUUUCUUCCCGCUGCUGACAAAGACAGUUGUUUGGAUUUGUUUGUUUUCUCCUUAUGUAUUUUUUAAAGAUCUUCACAUUAUUAUUUGUCGUGCUUUAAGAUGACAUAUGUUAUAAAUUAGCUCUAUAUCAAUAACACUGAAUUGAAUUAUACUUGUUUGCACACAUUGGUUAGGUGGAGAAGGACUUGUAUGGAUGUUUUUGACUAAUUGAAGACCCAGAUGACAGUGAAAAGACCGAAACUAACAAGAAAUGAAGCCAGCUACAGAAAGAUUCCAAAUGUCUGCUUAUAUUUAUGGAAUGUAAGUUGCAAGUGUUCAUUGAAUGCAAAAGAUCUGACAACCAAUCAGAGAGCGAGGACUCUAUUCUCUGAAUCAAACAGAACUAGAUACAUCACAGAAGAAGGACAUCAGUCUUCUUCAGUAUAAAUGUAUUUCAAGUCAGUCACAUUUGUUUAUAAAGCACAUUUAAAAGCAACAGGAGUUAGAAAGGUAAAAAAAAAAGAAGAAAACACAAUGACUAAAAGACAACUAAAAAAAAAAUAUGUCAUUAAAUAAAUGACAUAUCUAUCUGGCAAAGCCUAUUGAGCUUUUCAACCCUGUUUUUUCACAAGUUAUUGUUCCAAAUACUGGUAAUAUAUAAUAAUUAGCUUUAGUUAUUGAUGUGAUUAUUAGUGACAGUCCAUGGUGCCUUUGAAUGAUGCAUGUUAUGAACUAGCUUAAUGGCGUAAAAGAAAUCCAAGGAAGCCAAACCAGAUGCUUUUUGGUAAAAUAGAGAUAGUUGAGAAAAACCAAAGCCAGUUGAGGCAAACUGCAAGAGAAAAAAAACGCAUAUAUGUGCUUUUUAAAUCAGAGAUAAAUACAACCAGAAGAAGAACCUUUUUGUUAUGACUAACCUUUCUUAGAAGACACCAAAAAUAAAAGUGAAACCUCACUACCUUACCUCACUGAAAGAAAACAGAGUCAGAACAGGUCUUAGUAGCACUAAAAUUAGAAAUGCUCAGUGUGUGUUCACUCAGUCUCCAGGUAACCGGUAAGUACCUUAGUGCCAGCGAAGCUCUUUUCAAAUAGAAUCAUGAUGGGAUGUUUGCCAUCCAUCUGUCCAUCUGUUUUUAACAGCCUCACCUGUUGUCAAGCUGGAAACCUCUCAGGAGACCAAACAUAAUAACCGAAACCCAACAUGGACGGUUAAACACAGGAACUGCAGCUGUAGCAAGUAAAAUCAUACAGAUAAACACUGAUUAAUAAACCAGUAAAGAGCCUGUUGAUCCUGAACUCACCACAAUGAUGCACCAACAGGAGCGGGAGGUUUCCUCAAAUACUGCAUCUGGCAACUUCGCCGCUCGAAUUCUUUCCACAACUUGUUUUAGAUCGACAAAACCACCAAAAAACAAGGACAGACAACUUCCUGUAUGCCACUUGUUGCCUACUGUUCCUUCGCUCUACGCUCCGACUUCUUCCAGACCACCUUGGUUGGACUCAGGGCUUUGUGGCAGGCAGGUCAUCUGAUGCAUCAUUCUGAUUCUGGGUUAAAAUUUGAUGUGGCUGCAGAAUGUUAUCAGCAUGCAGAUCAAGUCAGUAUCAAAGUAUUUUUUGAAAUUUUUUCACUUCCCUGUCUUUUACGUUCCAAAUCUGUGUGCAAAACUCUGAGAUUGGUUCAUGUAUAAUAAAUCUAAAAGGAAAGAUUUAAGAAGAAACAUAAUUAAAGCUGACAUAUGAAGGCUGACAAAGUUGUAUGUAACCUCUGAAUUAAAGUGCUUAUUGUAAUUUUGUUUUCUUUAAUUGAAGUUUUUAGUUGCUUGAAGUAUAUAAUAGAAUCAAUUCUAUAAUGCAAGAGGAUACAAGAGGAUUAUUCUUACUGUAAGAAAUGAAAUACCUCUAAAGUACAUCUUAAAUAUCAUAUUAGAAUUACUGUCACUGUCUACAAAAGAUGGUAAAAUGUAGCAAAGGAGAAUAUUUUGGUAUGAAAACAAACACUUUUUAAACAAAAGAGCUAAAAAAUGUUUGAAAAAUACAAGCAAAAGUGCACAGACUUCCUGACUGAGAGGAGGAGCUGCACUUCCUGUUUAGUAUGGCAACUUUAUUUUAAAACUGUAAAAGACUGACCUCUAGUGGCUGAACUCAGUGUUGCAUCCAGUCACAAAAAUACUCAGUUAUUAGAUGGAUGGAUGGAUGGACGGACGGACGGACGGACGGACGGACGGACGGACGGACGGACGGACGGACAGACAGACAGACAGACAGACAGACAGACAGACAGACAGACAGAUAGAUAGAUAGAUAGAUAGAUACUUUAUUAAGCCCGAGGGAAAUUCAAGUAUUUAGCAACUUACAUACAACAAAAAGGCAACACAGGCAAGUUAGUACUCAGAUAAACAUUAACAUUAAAUGCUAGUAUACACUUUUAAAAAAUUAGCUGUACAAUACUAUAAACAAAACACUUCUAAUUCUACAGAAAUAUUAAAUAUAUUAAAAGUCAAUAUACAGUAUUUACACAUUUCAAGGCCCAGUGACUUAAAAUGAUUUAAUUUAAUAAAAGUAAUUAUAUUUCAGUUUAUGAAUCCACUUGGUGGCAAAAUGAUCAGAGGAUAGAACAUUUGUUUUAUAGAGAUUAUACUGGCAGUAUAGUUUUUAUCAAAGAAGAAGAAAAAGAAAGUAAAAAGGUGAGUGAAAAGAUGUAAAGCCUGACAUUGUUUGUUUGAAUUCUGAGUGCAUACAUUUAUUUGCUGUACUACUCUCAAAAAGUCCUCCAAACUAGACAAAUGACAAAUAAAAAAAACAUUAAAUAUGUACUCGAAUUAUAGAAGAUAUCUGCAAUGAUCAAAUAAUAAAUAUAUGAUUCAAAUAUGAUUCAAAUAGACAGUCCCUCCAGGAAUCCGCGAUGUUGCGAUGGCACCAAUUCACGCGAAUUCAACCAAUCUCCGCGAAUUCUGCACGACCUUGCAAUUCUGUCCAAUCACCGCAACUUUUUAACAAUUUUGGCCAGCCUCCCAUGAGUUCCACCAAUCAUAGCGUUCCCCAGCUCAAACGUAAUGCACGUACAUCACCGAAUUCACUUCCUUGUUUAUGGUUUGAACAUCCAGACGUGCGAUUCUCUCUCAUUUACCAACAAAAAUUACUGCCAAAGACUGCAAAAUAAUUCCGUGAUGUUCUUCACGAAAGCAGAGUUUAGGCUGUUAGAUUGUUCCAGACAAGUACAAGAUUGUUCAGAGCCGUUCUACCAUGAGCCUGACAGGAAGAACUCCAACAGCUACUGAAUGUUCCUGUGGUUCCCUCAAGGCUACAGGAGGAGCCCUACGAGGACGAGCCGGUCCACCUGAUGGUGGCCAGUCACUGCGGUUCAAAGCCAACAGCGACUACGUGGACUUCUACUGGACCACACGGAGGCCUUCAAACCGGACCAACAAGUUCAGCGACUCCCCGACUCGUGGGUCUGAGGACGCCGCCGAGCCUCGGCCCAGCCGGCCUCCUGUCUGUGGGUGUUUGAGUGCUGAGAGGUUUGUGGAUGCAUGUGAACGUUCUGUGUUGAAACAGCAGCUUUGGACUCAGUAACGCCGGGAAAAACCAAGAGCUCCUUUAUUUGUGACUUCCACUAAAAAAACUGAUGAAAACAAGUUUGCCAGGGUUCUGACUGAUAACAGAUUAUUAAAUAAUGAAAAUAAUCAUUUAAAUAUUCCUUUAAACAAUCCUUUUAGGUCUACAUUUCCUUUACACUGACUUCUUGGUAUAUGUACAAGUAUUUUGGGUGGAAUAUACCAUUAAGCCCAAUGUUCAAGGGUUCUUCUGGGAAUACACCAUUAAACCAACCUUUUAGGUAAAUGUUACAGGAUGUUUGGUACAAUAUACCAUCAGAUCAACCUUUUAGGUCUACAUUGGAAGAUUUUAGAGUAGAAUAUUACUCCAAACCAUCCUUUAGGUCUACAUUUAAGGUGGAAUACUCCUUUACACCAAGAUUUUUUGGUCUACAUUGAAGGAUUUUAUGUGGAAUAUUCCUUUGAACGAACUUUUAAAGGUUAAGUUCAAGGAUGUUGGGUGGAAUAUACCAUCAGACCAACCUCCAGGGUCUACAGUAGUGAAUUUUAGGUGGAAUAUACCAUUAAACUCACCUUUUAGGUCUACAUUGGAGGAUUUUAGGUGGAAUUUUCUUCCAAAUCGUCUUUUAGUCUACAUUUAAGGAUGUUUAGGAUGGUAUAUUCUUCCAAACCAACUUCUCAGGGCUACAUUUCAGGUGGAAUAUUCCUCCAUACUAACUUUUUUGGUCUACAUUGAAGGAUUUUUUCUAAACCACCCUUUCGGGUCUAUAUUUGGGGUUUUAGGUGAAAUAUUCCUUUUAACCAGCCCCUCAGGUCUCUUUGAAGAUUUUGGAUGGAAUACUCGGUUAAACCAACAUUUUAGGUGCAUGUCCAAGGAUUUUUGGUGGAAUGUUCCUUUAAGGUGGAUGUGUGAGGACCUUGUAGGUGGAAUACUUCCUGAAACCAACCUUUUAGGUCAACAUUCAAAGAUUUAAGGUGGAAUAUUCCUUUAAACCAACCUAAAUUUCAUGUUUUGAUCAUUAUCAAGUGAGAAACCUCAAUCCAGACUCCUCAUAAUGAUGUUUGAGAUUUAUGCUGCUGUUAUUUGUUUAGUCCAGACUAAAUAACAGAAAUCCACAACUGUAAUUUUAUUUCAGGACUUGGUUAUUAAAUGUCAAUACAAUCCAUGUGACUCUAAAAACUCAACAGCUUUACAAACUCUAAGAUUAAACUCUCCACAAGGAUCCAAAAUAAGUUGGACUUCUACAUGAGAGCUUUAAUUAUUCUUCAUCUACUUUCUGAAAAGUUUGGUCAAUAAAAAAGACAAAAACUAAUAUUUUCAGCUGAAUUAAAGACAGACUUUGUGAUUUUUCUGCUCACAUGUUGUGUUGUUGUAAACUUACUCUUUCAAAUAAAUAUCCUCCUAACCCCCUGGAAA